rnacentral:rRNA from 1 species
AUUGAACGCUGGCGGCAGGCCUAACACAUGCAAGUCGAACGAGUGGCGGACGGGUGAGUAAUGUCUGGGACACUGCCCGAUGGAGGGGGAUAACUACUGGAAACGGUAGCUAAUACCUCAUACCAUCGGAUGUGCCCAGAUGGGAUUAGCUUGUCGGGGAGGUAACGGCUCACCUAGGCGACGCUCCCUAGCUGGUCUGAGAGGAUGACCAGCCACAAGGGAACUGAGACACGGGCCAGACUCCGACGGUGGGCAGCAGGGGGGAAUAUUGCACAAUGGGCGCAAGCAGGAUGCAGCCAUGCCGCGUGUAGGAAGAAGGCCUUCGGGUUGUAAAGUACUUUCAGCGGGGAGGCGUUACCCGCAGAAGAAGCACCGGCUAACUCCGUGCCAGCAGCCGCGGUAAUUC